CUGGCGACCGGCGCACGGGUGAGUAACACGUAUCCAACCUGCCGAUAACUCGGGGAUAGCCUUUCGAAAGAAAGAUUAAUACCCGAUGGUAUAAUCAGACCGCAUGGUCUUGUUAUUAAAGAAUUUCGGUUAUCGAUGGGGAUGCGUUCCAUUAGGCAGUUGGUGAGGUAACGGCUCACCAAACCUUCGAUGGAUAGGGGUUCUGAGAGGAAGGUCCCCCACAUUGGAACUGAGACACGGUCCAA
rnacentral:rRNA from 1 species